UUCGGAUCGCAGGCUGNAACCCGCCUGCGUGAAGUUGGAAUCGCUAGUAAUCGCGGAUCAGCAUGCCGCGGUGAAUACGUUCCCGGGCCUUGUACACACCGCCCGUCACACCAUGAGAGUCGGGAACACCCGAAGUCCGUAGCCUAACCGCAAGGGGGCGCGGCCGAAGGUGGGUUCGAUAAUUGGGUGAAGUCGUAACAAGGUACC
rnacentral:rRNA from 1 species